UGGGGAAUCUUGCACAAUGGGGGAAACCCUGAUGCAGCGACGCCGCGUGAACGAUGAAGCCCUUCGGGGUGUAAAGUUCUUUCGACAGGAACGAUAAUGACGGUACCUGGAGAAGAAGCUGCGGCUAACUACGUGCCAGCAGCCGCGGUAAUACGUAGGCAGCGAGCGUUGUUCGGAGUUACUGGGCGUAAAGAGUGCGUAGGCGGCGAGCCAAGUUUGGUGUGAAAUCUCCCGGCUUAACCGGGAGGGUGCGCCGAAAACUGGUUGGCUGGAGUAUGGGAGAGGAAAGCGGAAUUCCUGGUGUAGCGGUGAAAUGCGUAGAUAUCAGGAGGAACACCUGCGGUGUAGACAGCUUUCUGGACCAAAACUGACGCUGGGGCACGAAAGCGUGGGUAGCAAACA
rnacentral:rRNA from 1 species